GAUGAACGCUGGCGGCGUGCCUAAUACAUGCAAGUCGAGCGAACAGACGAGGAGCUUGCUCCUCUGACGUUAGCGGCGGACGGGUGAGUAACACGUGGAUAACCUCCCUAUAAGACUGGGAUAACUUCGGGAAACCGGAGCUAAUACCGGAUAAUAUAUUGAACCGCAUGGUUCAAUAGUGAAAGACGGUUUUGCUGUCACUUAUAGAUGGAUCCGCGCCGCAUUAGCUAGUUGGUAAGGUAACGGCUUACCAAGGCAACGAUGCGUAGCCGACCGGAGAGGGUGAUCGGCCACACUGGAACUGGGACGCGGUCCAGACUCCUACGGGAGGCAGCAGUAGGGAAUCUGCCGCAAUGGGCGAAAGCCUGACGGAGCAACGCCGCGUGAGUGAUGAAGGUCUUCGGAGCGUAAAACUCUGUUAUUAGGGAAGAACAAAUGUGUAAGUAACUAUGCCCGUAUUGACGGUACCUAAUAAGAAAGCCCCGGCUAACUACGUG
rnacentral:rRNA from 1 species